UAUUCAAUUCUGGGACUACCUAAACUUUGCAAAUAAUCAAAAGCUAAAGGAUAAGAAAUAAAAUCCUAAAAAGCUAAUAACAAACUCUGAAACUAAUUUGUACAGAUCACUAUUCUAGAAUCAUCCAAAAGAAUACUAAGCUAAUACUAAGUGUAGCACGUACAGUGCACUACUUGACUUGGGAUAUCAUGGAUAUGAGAUCAUAAAUGGGCUGCUCGUGGUCAUCUUUGCAGAGGCCCAAUGUGGUACACACAAUAUCAGCCCAAUAAACCCAACAACACAAUAUCAGCCCAAACACAAGAUUGGACAGUCCAGAACCUUCAGUUUCAUUUGGUCUUUGAUGAAGUCGAAGACUCCAUUGCUGCACCAUCGUUUUCUUCUCCAAUAUCCCCCCUCAAGUUGGAGGGGGACGUAGUAACACCCAACUUGUCCACAAGAAAACGAUGAGCAGGUCCAAACAAUGGUUUUGUGAAAAUGUCGGCGACUUGAGAUUUGGAAGGUAAGUAAGAGAGGGAAAUGAUGCCGGCGAGAUACUGUUGCCGGACAAAAUGGAAAUCGAGGUCGACAUGCUUCAUACGUUCGUGUAAAGUCACCGGUAAUGAGGGUUUAAUGGAUAAAUCAUCAAACUAACGCACCAGCCAAGUCACUUCUGCCACAACUAGCCUCAUAGAUCGAUACUCUGCUUCUGCAGAGGACAAAGAAACCAUGGUCUGUUUCUUGGAUUUCCAUGAGAUCGGCGAACCACUAAAGUUUACAAAAUAGCCACUGAUAGAUCGACGUGAUUCCGGGCGAGAACCCCAAUCGGAAUCGCAAAAGGCACUGAGUUAAGAAGAUGGACCAGAGUUCAUAUAAAGCUCCAAAUUUGGAGCUCCAAGAAGAUAUCGUAAACAAUGAAAUGCAGCAUCAAGGUGAGGUUGACGAGGUGUCUGCAUAUACUGACUGAGAUGCUGAAUGGAGUAGGAUAAAUCUGGUCGAGUAUGCGUCAAGAAAUUCAAUUUCCCCAAAAGACGCCGAUAAUAAGUGGGAUCAAUCAAAGAAGAACCUUGAUCCAUUAUGAGCUUGAUAGAAGGAUCAAGUGGGGAAGAUGGAGGCUUUAAAACAAGGCAAUCAAAUUCUGCUAACAACUCCAAGCUGAUAGAGAAGAGCACUAUUGCUCUGUCCAAAUCUGUCUUCCAGAUCCUUCCAUAUGUUCCUAGCUGUCUUGGAGUACAAGACACUCUCUCCAAUAUCCUUUGAAAGGGAGUUGAGCAGCCACGAGAUCACCAUGUCAUUACAUCUGUUCCAAAGAUGGAAUGAUGGAUCUAAAGGCGAAGGUUCUUUAAUGGAACCAUCUAUGAAUCCCAGUUUAUUUUUGGCAGAAAAUGCAAUGUAACACUGCUCUCCUCCAUCCUCCAUAAUUCUUCCCAGCAAAUGGUGUAUUGACAAGCACCAUCCCAGGUGAGUUAGAAGGGUGAAUGAAAAAGGGGUGAGUUGAAUCAUAGCUAGUGUUUUUUUUCAGUUGAUGAAGAUGGUGGAAAAACUCCAAUAGUGGAAGAAGUGAGAUCAGCAGCAGUUGAUUCCAUGGUUCACAGUAGAAAAACAAAAGAGGAGAAGAAUGAAAAAAAAAAAACUUACUGCUCUUAUACCAUAAAGAGAAAUGUAAUAUGAAAUUUUCUGUCUAUUUAUUGAAGAAGACUGUUCCUAUA